AGCACAAACACCUUGUUCCUAUUACUGUCACAAUUUCAUUACUGAAGCUGGAAGUUCAUGAGUUGAAUUAAGGCUUUUUAAUGGGAACAGACAGCAACAUGCUCCAAAUAAAGAGGCUUCCAAAGCACUACUGGAGUAUCCAAACACAAAUAUCCAAAUUUGUGCAGCUUUGCAGCUCAGAACUACCUGCACCCACUUGCAGCCAGAACACAAGGUGAGGCCUUGCUUGGCAUUCUCAUUUGGGCUGAAUUCCUCACACAACUUCCUCAGUGGUAUCUCAAACAAAACCACAGUGACCAUGGGCA